ACUGAAACACCAGUUCCCUUAAUGACCACCAAAGUUAAGCAACAUUGAGCCUGGUCAGUACAUAGAUGGGUGACCGCUUAGGAAUACCAUGUGUU